rnacentral:rRNA from 1 species
AUUGAACGCUAGCGGGAUGCUUUACACAUGCAAGUCGAACGGCAGCGCGGACUUCGGUCUGGCGGGGAGUGGCGAACGGGUGAGUAAUGUAUCGGAACGUGCCCAGUAGCGGGGGAUAACUACGCGAAAGCGUAGCUAAUACCGCAUACGCCCUACGGGGGAAAGCAGGGGAUCGUAAGACCUUGCACUAUUGGAGCGGCCGAUAUCGGAUUAGCUAGUUGGUGAGGUAACGGCUCACCAAGGCGACGAUCCGUAGCUGGUUUGAGAGGACGACCAGCCACACUGGGACUGAGACACGGCCCAGACUCCUACGGGAGGCAGCAGUGGGGAAUUUUGGACAAUGGGGGCAACCCUGAUCCAGCCAUCCCGCGUGUGCGAUGAAGGCCUUCGGGUUGUAAAGCACUUUUGGCAGGAAAGAAACGUCGCGGGCUAAUACCCCGUGGAACUGACGGUACCUGCAGAAUAAGCACCGGCUAACUACGUG